GACCUGCCGCCCGCCCCUGCCCCGGCACGGGCACGGUCGUGUUUCGGGUGCCUGGCUGGGGAUGGGGAAUGUUACUGUGAUACCUACCCCCCCCCCCUUUUUUUUUUUUUUUCCCCCCUUCCUUCCUUCCUGCUGGUUUUGUGGCAGUGCCACCUCAGCGCUCGCCCCGCUGCGGGUGGUGGGUUGCAGAGGGGUGGUGGGGCAGCUCGGGGGGCUCAGAUGGUGCCCAAGUCUUGGGGGGCAAAAAACCACUCCUCUUUCUGCUCCAGGAUAAGUGUCAUCUGGUAGUGCUACCUCAGCAUGCAUUUGGGACGCCCAGGUGAGCAUGUGCUGUUAACUUAUCUUCCUAAUUACUCUUCCCACUAGGCAUCCUUCCCACUAUGUUAUAGAGCCAGAAGUGGGGAGAGCGUAUAGAGAAGUUGAGGAGCGUAGUGCUGCGAUACCUGCAGCUCUUUUGACUCUUUUUGGCUCUUUGGGUGAGCAGGCCAGUCUACUCCUUGCUCUAGCAUAGUGGUGGCGCAAUGAGAAGGACUGGAGCAGGAAUCCGGUGAGGGGAUUGAGGUGAUGCUCAAGGCAGCCGUGCUGCCGGGUGGAGAGAGUGGGGUGGGAAGGCUGUGUUUCCAAAUCCGGUUAGAGACUGGCCAGAAACAUGAUUAAGUUCUGCCCAGAAGAGCUCUGGGUUUGAAGAAUUGGUCUCAUGGUGCAGGAACUUGAGUUGCGUUGCCUGCUAAAACAGCUUCUCUGAGUGCCACUCGUCGGGGUCUUCCUUUUUGACAAUGUUCCUUGUCCUGGGGUUGGUAUCUGAACGCAUCUAAGGUAGGAAAUGUAAAACAAAAAAAGAUUUAGGAAUACCCUGGUUCACUUCACGCUGCAGCAAUACCUGUGUCAGUACAUCUGCAGGAGUGAGUGGCGAGGGAGGUGCAUACUCCUUAAACACGACCUUUGGUCAAAGUCCCUCUGUGCUCAGACUGUGGAAGAGCCGGUUUUAAAGUGGCACAAACAGUUGUGCUGUUUUGCUUCUGCACUAUACUACCCCAAUUUUCAUAGAUUCAGUUUUAUUGACUCAAAUGAAUUUACCACAUUCUCUCGCUUUUCCAACAGUUUGUGUUCAUUUUUGACCAGCACGUUGAUGUAUGUUCUAUAGUUGUGCCAGCUAUAUGUCUUGUUUUCUAGUGUAAAUACUAAGCAGAGAAAUAUUCUUCCUUUCUUUCUGGUUUAUUAUGACUGGGAUGGAAAUCAAGUUUUCUCUGUCCCAGCCUUUCUCUUCAAGCAUCUUCAAGCAGUCUUGGCACUGCCUGGAACCUGGUUGGUUCUUCUAUCUCUUUCCCAGUUAAGACAGAUGAUAAAUAACUCAUUUCAAGUUUUUGCGUGAUAAUGCUGAAAUUGGGCAUCAGUGUUUGAAAUGGAAAUUUAAGAAUAUGUCAUUUUUACUUUUAAUGAGAUGUUCCUCUAAAUUAAUUCAAUUUCUUCAAGAUGAAUGUCUCUAAGCAUUUUUUUUUCCAGCUACCAGAAAUAUUUUCCAGGUUUAAACCUGCUGUUUGCAGAUUUUUGGCAGCAGCGUCAACUAUCGUAGUUACAAAACUGGAAUUUCAUCUAAGAUUGCAAGCUGCAUCUGAUACCGAUUCAGUGGGAGGAGAUAAAUAUGUUAAAGAACUAGGUUUCAAAAACAAAAUGCAUGCUGCUUAAACUUCAGAAGGAUUUCAGUGCUCUGCAAAAUAAACACAGUCAUUUGUCUCUUCAUGUUGGAAGAAAGGCAUACUUAGUUCUUGGGGCUUUUAACAAAAUUAACAUUCUUUUGACCCUCGUGAUCUUAGCAACUGCCAACAGGUUCGUAAGUAAAGCAAGAACUGUGAAUGUUAAUCUGAAAUCCAUCAAUAGGUGUUGUCUGGGCAUAUGCCUUCUAACAUGGCUUUUAAUUGAUGGUAGUUGAAUUUUGCAGGCUCUGUACCUGAACUGAAAUGAAAGGCCGUAACUUUAUGGCAAUGGUUUCUGCGAUUAUCUUUCGAGAUGUAGCUACCAGUAGUGUCGGGAGACCCGAAUUCUGUGCUUCUGCAGCCACUCGCAGGCAGGGAGAGAUUCGCAGCCCCCUUGUGUCGGCGUGCUUCUCCUCCUCUCUUACCUGGCUGGUAUCUGAAGCUGAGAAGUGGCAGUGUGACCCUUGUCACAAGCCAGACGUUCCUUUUUUUUUUUUUUCCAGCUUCCAUCCAUACAGAACUGUAACUGCAAAUCUUGCCAUCUAUCGAAACAGUCUGUGAACUAAUGAGCAAGUGGCUUUAUUACUUCUGGUUUUACGUUUUAGUUGUUCCAAAAAAUUACUGUUGGAAAUU